rnacentral:rRNA from 1 species
UAUGUGAUCGUCUCUCGCAUAUCAAUAAGCGGAGGAAAAGAAACUAACAAGGAUUCCCCUAGUAACGGCGAGUGUAAGCGGGAAGAGCUCAAAUUUGAAAUCUUAAAGGGUUUCCCUUUACGAAUUGUAGUUUAAAGAAGUGUUUUCUGUUGAGGUUUUGGUAAAAGUUCUUUGGAAUAGGACAUCAUAGAGGGUGAGAAUCCCGUAUUUGACCUUUACUUUCAACUUUGUGAUACACUUUCAAAGAGUCGGAUUGUUUGGGAAUGCAGUCCAAAAUGGGUGGUAAAUUUCAUCUAAAGCUAAAUAUUGGCGAGAGACCGAUAGCGAACAAGUACCGUGAGGGAAAGAUGAAAAGAACUUUGAAAAGAGAGUUAAACAGUACGUGAAAUUGUCAAAAGGGAAGCGUUUGACACCAGUGUUGUUUUUCUGAAAAUCAAUUAAAGAACUGUUUAUGCUAAGUUGUUUAGACUUUAUCAGCUAAUCUGCUUAGUUUUGAGCUUUUCUUUAAUGCACUUUUCAGUUAACAAGUCAACAUCAAUUUCCUUUUGCUGUAAAAAAGCUUGAGGAAGGUGGCUUGAGAUUCGUCUUAAGUGUUUAUAGCCUCUUGCCUAUGCAGUCGGAGAGAUUGAGGUCUGCAGCGUAGAUCCUUCGGGGCUAAAUGCAUUUGUGCUAAGUUAUAGCAUUUUAUAGACAACUUGUUGACUAUGAUUUGUCUUGUAGCUUACUCGCUUAUGUUAUUUUACCUACGCUUAGGAUGUUGACACACGCGCGUGCUCG